UCGGGUGUAGCUCAGUCGGUAGAGCACGCGCUUUGGGAGCGCGAGGCCGCAGGUUCGAGACCUGUCACCCGGA
rnacentral:tRNA from 1 species